rnacentral:rRNA from 1 species
UACGUAGGGUCCGAGCGUUGUCCGGAUUUAUUGGGCGUAAAGAGCUCGUAGGCGGUUCCGUAAGUCAGAUGUGAAAACUCAGGGCUCAACCCGGAGACGCCAUCUGAUACUGCGGUGACUGGAGUCUGGUAGGGGAACACGGAAUUCCUGGUGUAGCGGUGAAAUGCGCAGAUAUCAGGAGGAACACCCGUGGCGAAGGCGGUUCUCUGGGACGGUACUGACGCUGAGACGCGAAAGCGUGGGGAGCGAACAGG